GGAAGGAGCCCCCAGCAGCUGUGUCUUUCCCUAGCACACUGAUGCUGGCAGGGGUCUCUGUCGAGGAUGAGGCCAUCUACCAAUGCGUGGCAGAGAACAGCGCGGGCUCCAAACAGGCCAGCACCCGCCUGGCUGUGACAGGGGACGCAGAGCCACCCCCUGCCUCCAGGGGCCUGCAGGCAGUAGGUCUUUCCACUUCUGCCAUUUGAGUGUCCUGGGAACCACGCCCCUCCAACAGGGACAUCAUUGGCUACGUGCGUGAGAGAGCCAGCUGCCCUCUAUGAGAUCAAGCUCCAGGCAUUUAAUGGCCACGGGGAUGGUAACAGCAGUGCCCACGUCGUCUCUUUGUGUGAUGUGCCGCUGGCCACCCCUGAGUGCAAGGUUGGGUGCUCUUGCAGCCAGGAUGCGAGCAGUUCAUUGCCUGGGGCUGUGGUGGGCAUCCACGUGCGCCUGGCUGCCCUCAUCAUUUGCCUCCUGUGCCACCUCCUGGGCUGGAGACAUAGGUGACCAUGGAGCAGCCGCCCUAGCCUAGAGCCCUCCAGGCUGGCUCCCUCCCGGACCCCACGAACUCUGGCCCCACCAAAGGAUCUACCUCACCCAUCACUGUCGCCCUGGAGUCAGGAAAGAAACAAAGGUCCCUCAGCCCCUCUCGGGGAGAGGCAAGUCUGACCGCAGGGAGACAGAAGAGGGUGAGGAUUCUCCGCUCCUCCCUCCUCAAGAAUGGGGGAGUCUCUGUCUUCCCCAGCAUAUCAGAUAUCCUCAAACUAAACCAAGCUUGGCUGGGAGUUAGCCUCAACCUUGUUACUCUAGCCUUAUAGCCCAUUCAAUAUAUUCUUUUGACCCAAAUAUGAACCUACCCAAAGAUAUAUAGCUUUAAGGGUGCCCCCCAAAGGGAAGGGGCAAGGCAGGGCUCUCACCAUCUCCAGCUCCACCAGGAUCCCUAGUCUGAGAGCUCAGUUGGUCUCCUCACGCCCAAGCUGAGGCCUGGCCAAAGCACAGGCACCGGGCAUUCCCUGUGGUCUGCAUGAGGAAAUGGGUGUAGAGUUCCUUUCCCCUGGUCCCAACACCGUGAGUCCUGCCAUCGGAGCUCACACGGGCUGCUUCUCUGGGCAACCAAAUACCCAUCUCCCCUCUCCAGAUCCAAAGCACUGGCCUCUUCUCAGGGGCCAUCCCUCCCCAUUUGAGUUUUAUUUUUGAAGAUGGUAUUAGUCUAAGCUGGGGUUUGGUGGCCUUGAAGCCCCUGUAGAAUGGACACAGAGGCUGUGGAGCACCCUAGCCAUCUAGGCCUUCAAUUCUAGGUGCCCAAAGAUUGCCUCCUUCCCACUCCCACCCUCUGCCAGCCUAUGGCAGCCAAUGCCCACAUCCCUCCUCAUCCAGCCCUACUACACCCUAAAGCCAAAGCCCCAACGCUCCCUCAAUCAGUGUCUCCCUCCAGGGCUGUCCAGUAUUGUGCCAGAAAGGGCGGAGGGCCCUGGAGGAAGGAAAACCCAGGGCUUAGGGGACCCCAAACACUGUCUCGUCUUUGCUCCUAUAGAGUGAGGUUAGUAGCAAUGACAAGACCCCAGCAAGGCUGGACCCUGCCUCUCCACCCCUGCCUCCUUCUGCGUAGGGGUAGAAGCAUCUUUAACUAGGAAAUGGGGCAGGGGACCAAUGGGUUAAGAAUAGCCCCGAACUUCAAGUCCUUGAGGGAAUGACAUCCUCUUCUCUGGGAGAGUCUGGUCUCAGUGCUUUGUUGGAAAUAAAAAACCAAAAGGAAAACAAUGUAUUAGGAGCUGGUUAAUAUUCUGGGUUAAAAGGAAAACUUGGGAGAGUGAGGUGUUGAGGCGGUGAGAGCACAUCCGGUCUUCCCGGGGAUGCUGCAUUCAGGUAAGGAACCAUAUCUGCAAUUGUUUUGCUAAGAAAAGAUCGCUGUGAGCUGUUGUAAGGUUCCCACCUGGAGAAAGUAACAUGUUAUAAAGGUCUUGGUUCCUGGAGACCACAGCAACGUGAUGGGCAAGGCCAACGAUAGAUGGAGACUCCACCUUCUUCCUGACACCUUCAGGUCAUUAAAUAGUGUCAGCAGCUUCCAGAACACUGGGUCCACCUGAAGGUGAGGGGAACAGUGAGACAGAAUACAGGUAAGGGCUUUAAGUAAUCAUGACAACUGAAGAAAAGGGUACAAGCCAAAGGUGCCCCACGACCGAUGGGAGUACAAGCCAUAGCUCAUCUCCAAUUACCCCUAAAAUUGCCCCACCAAAUUGCCACUCCAACCCCCACCAGGACUAAAGGCACAAGCCACAGGAAAGUUUAGAAACCAUUCCUUUCUUUAUUAAACAUAGCUUGCAAGUGAUAAAUAUUACAAAGUUUUUUUUCUUUUAAUCCUUUCUCCAAAAAUUAGCUUAUUUGAAUCUGUCACUGCUGAAAUGCUCAACAGCAUCUGAAACAGAUGGGAGUGUAUUUGCCUUUUUGAAAACCAGUUUCUAUUGGUCUUAGUUUUUUCAUUUUAAUUCCCAAACACAAUGCAGAAAAUUAGAAUGAGUUAAAAAAAAAAAAAGGAAACUUAAAAGAGAGUUGUGCAAAAGGGUCUUG